UGUCCACAUUUGGAAAACUCCUAAUGUUCUUUUUCUGAUCCAGAUCCAAUGCAGUUAUCCUUCUGCCUUAGUUUCUUUAAUCAGGAACAAUUCCUCAGUUUUUCUGUGUCUUUUAUGAUUAGACACUUUUGAAGAGUACUGGUCAUUUAUUUUGUAGAAUGUCCUUCAAUGUAGAAUUGACUGAUAUUUCCUCAUAAUUAAUGUUGUGUUGGCAGGAAUAUUUAUAAAAGCUGUUGUGUCUUUCCUCAUAUAUCAAGAUUUCAAUUUACUGGUGAUAUUAUUAACUUUGAUCACUGGGUUGAGAUGUUGACCCAGUUCGUGCACUUUAAAGUGACUUUUAAAAAAAUCAGGAGCCUAUUCUUAUAUAUAAAGAUUUCUGUUACCAAGAAUUAACCAAUCAGAGACAACCUUAUUAUGCGACGUGACCAAUUGAGUGUUCAGGAUAACAUGGGAAAGGUGAUGCAAAGGAGUAAAAAAGAUGUCUUACACAGAAGGAAUGGCUUCAUUAUGCCACUGAAGUAGGAAUGAGCCUAG